AAAGAAAGGAAAAUCAUAUCGAGUGAUGAGGCGGAAAUCGUUAAGCUACCAGAGGAAAAGGAAAGAAGAGUAUAUUAGCAUAUGCCUCUGUCGCAUCUCUCGAUCUCUAGUAGAUUAAUCGAAUCAAAAUCUCGAUCUAGGAUCUGAUGUCAAGGAAGUACCGCACCACAAUCCGCCAACACUAAGAGAAAUUGUCGUCGAGGUAGUGUGGGUGUUGUGACCGUCGGAAUUGCGAGGAGAACGAAACUCAGAGGUUUGUUCGUCUUGCCAUUAUGGCGUCGUAUCUGGCAGAGAAGAAUCUGGCGCCGAAGAGCUUUUGAUCGGCGCAGUGAAAAUAUGGUGGUGCUGAUCUCCAUCGAUUUGGAGGUGAAGAAUUGACAGUUGAGGUGGUGAUUUGGCAUUGCAGCGGCUGUGAAUAAUUGGAGAAAAAUACGUUUGCGGAGAGAGGGGUUUAGGUUUAAUGCAAAUCCUUAAAAAAAAUAUAAAAAAUAAAAUAUUUGUACAGUACCAAAAAUACUCCUCCAAUUAGAAUUCUGGACAUCCUGGAACUAAUACAUCGUAUAAUUUAAAUUGCUCCAGAAACAAAACCCAAAAAAG
rnacentral:lncRNA from 1 species